rnacentral:rRNA from 1 species
GACGAACGCUGGCGGCGUGCUUAACACAUGCAAGUCGAACGGAAAGGCCCUGCUUUUGUGGGGUGCUCGAGUGGCGAACGGGUGAGUAACACGUGAGUAACCUGCCCUUGACUUUGGGAUAACUUCAGGAAACUGGGGCUAAUACCGGAUAGGAGCCCCGGUGGCAGGGUGGGGGUGGGAAAGUUUCGGCGGUUGGGGAUGGACUCGCGGCUUAUCAGCUUGUUGGUGGGGUAGUGGCUUACCAAGGCUUUGACGGGUAGCCGGCCUGAGAGGGUGACCGGCCACAUUGGGACUGAGAUACGGCCCAGACUCCUACGGGAGGCAGCAGUGGGGAAUAUUGCACAAUGGGCGGAAGCCUGAUGCAGCAACGCCGCGUGCGGGAUGACGGCCUUCGGGUUGUAAACCGCUUUCGCCUGUGACGAAGCGUGAGUGACGGUAAUGGGUAAAGAAGCACCGGCUAACUACGUG